GCGUGCACGGAGCCAAGCAUA
rnacentral:miRNA from 3 species